AUGGUCCUGUGGUUGGGUUGGGGGGGGGGGUCAGUCAGGGGCUGGCCACGUAGCCCACACACCUCAGCUCACAUAAUCCUGAGAUCCUACACCACCCCCAUCUGGCAGAUGGGGAGACUGAGGCCCAGGAAGGCACAAUGUGGGUGCUGAGGCCAAGCAGGCAGUAAGCAGCACAGCUGGGAGUGAGGCCUAGGCCGACUGACCCCACUGCCCGACCUCAGCCCAGCCUCAUCAGCUCACUGUGCCUGGUUCCAGAUACCCUGACCAAUACCCUCUGUCUGCACUGGCUCUGCUCACACCGGCCUUUGUGCACGCUGGGCCUCCUCUCUGGCCACCCUCGCCCUGGUCCUACCAAUCCUUGAGGCCUAUGGUGCAGUGAAUUGCUUUACCGUGGCCCUUCUACCCUUGGUCUUGUAACUCCCGCAAAAUGAUUGGGUGGGACUAUGGUGGUGCAGUGGUUAAGAGCCUGGCUGCUAACCAAAAGGUGGGCAGUUCGAAUCCAUCAGGUGCUCCUCGGAAACCCUAUGGGGCAGUUCUACUCUGUCCUAUAGGGUCACUAUGAGUCAGAAUCAGAUUGAUGGCAAGUGUUUUUUUUUUUUUUUUAAUGCAAAUAAAGUGCUUUUGGCCCACCAAGGGGACUGGACAGUUCUGCUGAUGCAAAUAAGGUGCUUGUAGUGGACUGGUCAGGUCUGCCAUCCUGAUAGGCCAACAGGGAGCAAAUCCCAGAGGCUGGAGGGGGACCUCACUACCAUCAAGGAGAGCCGGGAGCAAAGCACACCCUUGGGAUGCCAGGUCCCCGCACUGAGAACCUCCUAGACCCAGGAGACAGACAUAGCUGUAACGGUGAAGACGGCACUCGAUGGAAGAGGCACAGGACCGGCAGUCUAGGCUCACCAACCCACAGAGUGAGAGAGCUGUGUGCCUUCGGGGAGAGGCUUGCUGGCAGAAUAGGGUGCCUCCGGGCAUCUGUACACGGAGCUGAAGAGCUUUGUUACACUCGCUGGAGCAGAGCAGAGGCCAGGCUGAGGGCUAGCAGAGAGGCCUGCCUGUGGGCAUGGCUGAGAAGCUGUCCUGAUUGAAGAACUGUAUCCUAAGUUGCUCCUGUGACUUCCAAGUUGAUCCUGAUCCUGAAUCAUACCAUUACUUCCCUAAUAAAGCCCAUAAUCAUGAAUAUGGACUGUGAGUUGUGUGGCCACUGCAAUGUAUUAUCAAACUCAGCAGAGAAGUAGAAGGUGCCCUGGGAGGGAUGGCUUUGGUAAAAAGGCUGGAGAGCACAGGUGUCUGGCUUCCACCUCACGGGGAUCGGCUUUGGGCUGAUGGUGAGGUUCACUCUCCUCUCUCCCUGAAUUAGAGGAUGUCUGACUCACACCAUUUUUAUGGUGCCCUGGGCCAGAGGCCCCGUCCAGGCCUCCCUAACUCCCCAGCCCUGGCCAGCCAAGCUGUCCUUGGAGUCCUCACCUCUACCCCAGCGAGGGACUGUGACAACCAGAGAUCCCGGAGCUGGCAAGGGGGCUGUCCCUGCGGUGGCUGGGAGCCCUCCUACCCCCUGCAGUGUCUGCGUGCACUAAGUGGGUGGGGAUCUCCUCUGGGUCCCCUGGGCCGAGAGGAGGGCAGGGAGAAGCGGGGGUGGGUACCGAUGAAGGGGCCCUCCCCAGGGGAAGCCCAGAGGCUGCUGCUGCAGUUGGGUGAGGGCGGGAGCAGCCUUCCAGUUGCUGAAACAGAGAAAGUGAAACUCUGAAAGACCGGGAAUGCCUGGUAGGGCCUUGCUCAACUGUCCGCAGGGGAGGGCGGGACAGCCUUCACCCGGCCUUCCUGGUGCCCAGCCUGCUCCAGGGCCGCUGCCUUUGGAGCCCAGGAUCAGAUGACACAACCUUGCUUGCUGAAAGUGAAGAGGACUUGAAGCACUUACUGAUGAAGAUCAAAGACCACAGCCUUCAGUAUGGAUUGCACCUCAACAUGAAGAAAACAAAAAUCCUCACAACUGGACCAAUGAGCAACAUCAUGAUAAACAGAGAGAAGACUGAAGUUGUCAAGGGUUUCAUUUUACUUGGAUCCACAAUUGACAGCCAUGGAAGCAGCAGUCAACAAAUUAAGACGCAUUGCAUUGGGCAAAUCUGCAGCAAAUCUGACCUCUUUGAAGUGUUGAACAGCGAAGCGAAGAUGUCACCUUGAAGACUACGGUGCGCCUGACCCAAGCCGUGGUAUCUUCAGUUGCAUCAUACCAUGCGAAAGCUGGACGGACUACCGAAAGAACUGACAAAUCUGUCUUGGAAAAAGUACAACCAGAAUGCUCAGAAGCAAGGAUGGCGAGACUGCGUCUCACAUGCUUUGGACAUCAGUCCCUGGAGAAGGACAUCACGCUUGGCAGAGGGUCAGCAGAAAAGAGGAAGAACCGACACUGUGGCUGCAACAAUGGGCUCAAGCCUAACGAUGACCGUGGGCAGGGCGCAGGGCUGGGCAGUGUUUCGUUCUGUAGUACGUGGGGUUGCUGAGAGUCGGAACUGGCUCCACAGCACCUAACAACAAACAGCAUGUUGUAGCAUUUGGCGGUACUUCGUUCCUUUUUAUAGUUGAAUAAUAUUUCCUCGUAUGGAUGUACCACACUAUGUUUACCUACUUGCUGAUGGACACGUGGGUGGUUUCCACCUUUGGCUACCGUGAAUAACGCUGCAAUAAACCUUAGUCUACAAGUCUGUUUUCAAUUCUCGUGGGUAUAUACCCAAAAGUAGGAUUGCUGGGCCAUAUGGUAAUUCUAUGUUUAACUUUUUGAGAAACUAUCAAACUGUUUGACCCAUUUUUAAUAAAAAUACUCUACUCUUCUGUGUACAAACAUAGGCUCUCUGCCAAUUAUUUAAUGAUGGUUGUCCGGAAAAGUUAAAUUAGAGGUGACUUAGGAUUUUUAUGUCUGCCUCAUUUGGGAAAAGGUCCGCUCCCACUGUGUCCCCACGGAGGAGUCUCAUCUCCAGCACCCCUGGGACCAACAAUGGGAUGGACACUUGGACACUUCUGGACUUCAGUCUUCCCUGGGAUUCCUGCUUACUGUAUUGUACCACAGCCUCAGCCUGUGGUAGGCCUCAAGGAAGCCUGGGCCACGUCUGCCUCAGGGAGAGGGCAGCCUCGGCUGGGAGGCAGCCCAGGCAUCAGGGGGCGUCCCGAGAAGGGGCUCCCUAGAGGCCUGGGACAGGCUGGGCUUCCUGCUGCAGGCCUUCUCAGAGCCUUGCCUGUGUUAACAUACCACGCCUGCCCGAGGGGAGAUGGCACUUGGGGUGUAUCUCACUCCUGGUCCACAGAAUACCCUCUCCCUUCUUUCUAAGGGGCAUCUUGGGAGAGCAGUAUUUUGCAAAAAGCCCUUUUGGGAACAGAAAAGUGGACUGUGGAAUCUCUCAGACCAAGUUAGUUCUGAUCUAUACCGAGUGAUCCUGGGCAAGUCACUUCACCUGCGCGUUUGCUCGCUGCUGAGACCGAAGUGCACCAAGUUCAAGGGGGCGAUUUUUGGGUUUUACCUCCUGUCCCUCAGCACUGGGCCUGUGUGUGGCCUGAGGGCACCAGGAGUUUAUGGUUGGGAUUGCAAAGAGGGAAGUCCCGGUCUGGGGAACUUGGGGUGGAAAGGGGAUGUGGCCAAGGCCAGCUCAGGGACAGCAGGGCCUGUGUCACUCCGCAUGACUGUCACCCCUGCCCCCAGUGAGGACGGCCUGGCCUUUCUGAGGUUCUGCCACUUGAUGUAUUUGGGAGGCGCCAAUACUAAGGGUCCUACCUGUGGGUGGCCCUCAGCGAGGCCAGGCCCAGGUGACUUUCAACAUUGUUGAGCCUUGGGGGAGAUGCCCAGGAAGACAUGUGAGGCAGGGCUGCUCUGGGCUGUGGCUCAGCCAAGGGGAGGACCUGAUGGGUCCCUCCAAGUCACACAGGAAGGCUGGGCCACCUCUGAUGGACUUGCCAACAGACAGGACCAGCAGGGCCCACUGAGACAGUUGGGGGGCAGUGGACCCCUCCCUGGCCCAGUUGGAGGACUCCACAAGGCCUCCAUCCAGCAGGAGAGGGUCCCCCCUGGAGAGGAUUCACGACAGGAGGCAGUGGGGGUCAGAGUACUUUUAUUGGGGCAGCGGGGCUGCGGGCAGUGGUCGCACAUCACCGGUAGAGGUAGUCGGCCUGGAUGUUGGCAGCAAUCUCAGCCUCCCA